rnacentral:rRNA from 1 species
UACAGAGGGUGCGAGCGUUAAUCGGAAUUACUGGGCGUAAAGGGCGCGUAGGCGGUCAUGUAAGAUUGUUGUGAAAUCCCUGGGCUUAACCUAGGAACUGCAACGAUGACUGUGUGGCUUGAGUAUUGUAGAGGGUAGUGGAAUUUCCGGUGUAGCGGUGAAAUGCGUAGAGAUCGGAAGGAACACCGGUGGCGAAGGCGGCUACCUGGACAAAUACUGACGCUGAGGCGCGAGAGCGUGGGGAGCAAACAGG